rnacentral:RNase_P_RNA from 1 species
AGUCGGCUGGACAGUCGCUGUGUGUCUUGCCUGCAAGACAUGUGGAGGAAAGUCCGGGCUCCAAAGGGCAGGGUGCCAGGUAACGCCUGGGGGGCGAGAGCCUACGGAAAGUGCCGCAGAAAACAGACCGCCGAUGGCCCCGAUGUUCGCAUCGGGCGCACAGGUAAGGGUGAAAAGGUGCGGUAAGAGCGCACCGCGCCGCUGGUAACAGCGGUGGCAGGGUAAACCCCACCCGGAGCAAGACCAAAUAGGGGAGCAUUGGCGUGGCCCGCGUUGCUCCCGGGUAGGUCGCUCGAGCGUCGCGGUGACGCGGCGCCCAGAUGAAUGACUGUUCUCGACAGAACCCGGCUUACAGGCCGACUUC